GAGGAAUAUUGCACAAUGGGGGAAACCCUGAUGCAGCAACGCCGCGUGAGGGACGAAGGCCUUCGGGUCGUAAACCUCUUUUCUGGGGGACGAGGAAGGACGGUACCUCAGGAAUAAGUCUCGGCUAACUACGUGCCAGCAGCCGCGGUAAAACGUAGGAGGCGAGCGUUAUCCGGAUUUACUGGGCGUAAAGCGCACGCAGGCGGCUUCGUGAGUCGGACGUGAAAGCUCCUGGCUUAACUGGGAGAGGUCGUUCGAUACUGCGGGGCUUGAGGUUGGGAGAGGGGUGUGGAAUUCCCGGUGUAGUGGUGGAAUGCGUAGAUAUCGGGAGGAACACCAGUGGCGAAAGCGGCACUCUGGCCCACACCUGACGCUGAGGUGCGAAAGCGUGGGUAGCAAAC
rnacentral:rRNA from 1 species